AUUGAAUUGAGCACGCAAAUCAAAUGGAUAACAGAUCGGAACCGGAGCUGAACGACCAUAGCAACAGUAUUGAAUAAUUCCCACGCCGGUUGUGACCUCCGUGAAUGCGUCGUCGGUUGGUACGGGAGAAACCACGACAGAACGGGCAGCGUGCGGAAGGAAAAAUCCACCCUUGGCAAGUAUUGAAUUGCGAUAAAUUACACAAACGACACCUGUAGCGCUGAAGACGUCCAGAUUUGCAGAACACGAAAAGUGCACAUUCCAUCACGAUCUAGAUGGAACUAGAGCCACCGUUCGUGUCCCGAUUGUACAGGAUGAGCAGUCGGGAGCUACCCUUCGGAUCAGCUGGGUCCACCACUAAAUCACAGGUCGUUUCAAGAUUGUACAAAAAUUUGUAAGAGCAAAUCAUUGUUAUCAUCGUACUGAUCAAGCGCUGGUGGCAAUGAAAAACAAUUAUCUUCGGAAAGUUAUUUGCCGUACGAACAACUAUAAUUUGAGUAGGAAAUUUGCAGGUGAAUACUUGGAUGGUGUUCCGUUGCUCAGUGUGCCAUGCAUAAGCUCUAGGAUAAAAACUGCAAGCGAUACGGCAGACAGAUUGAGAUGGAAUGUUUACUCUUCCUAUUCUAUCAUCAUGUCGAGAAGGAUGUACGGCAAAGAGUAAUUUUAUCCCCUAGCGAUGAUCUUGAUAUGGAGGCUAUGUGGGCGAUUCCCACGGAACCAUGCCCGUUCCGUUUUCUAGUUUAAUCUUUGUGUCCCAUGAUCUACGGCCUGAAAUAAUAAAAGACUAGACGGUAGCUGUUUGAAGAAAAAGGUUCAAGAGGACCAUUGGAAGCGGGCGCAUUAGUAUUGGCAGAUUAAUGUGCUUGUUGUAUCGAUGAAUUUGAUAAAACACAGGAAGCUAUGGAGCAGCAAGUUGUAAGCGUAACUAAAGAAGGAAUUAUUUGUUCAUUACCCGCAGGUACUUAUAUCUUAGCUGCAGACAAUUCAUCCGUCAUUACGACAAAUUGAAAACCGUAUCCGAAAAUCUCCGAAUGAAACCAGCUCUCUUGUCCCGAUUCGAAUUGGUUUUCAUGCAACUUGAUCGACCGAAUGCCCAAACGUCCCAAGUUGACGAAAUGCGUCGGGCCCAGCAGGAAAUGGAUUCUAUUCCGGUGACAUCCCGUCAGCUUGAGCCUUUGGUACGCCUCACACUCUUCAGCAAACUCAAGUCUUGAUCACCAUCGUGCUGUCCAGAAUAAUAGACGUGUUCAACAACGAUGUUCAGGAUCUACAGCCGAACCGCUUAAUAAACGGUGCCGGUAUCAGCCAGACUAGUUUGGUAAAGCGCUUCGUGUUUCUGGUCCAGUCUAAGGUGGCAACGCAGAACAAGAACAUUUUCUCAUUGGCUGAUCUGAAACAGAUGACUGGUGUUGGAACGGAUUUCAAUCGACGCUGGACGCGAUGUACAUCAAAGGAUUCCUGCUCAAAAAAGGACGGGAUUUGUUUCUGAUUAGGGGUAAGUAUUGUUAUUGUUAAGUACAUUGUGGCCAUUUUUUUUCAAAUAAAUUAUUCAACAAGCUUGUUUUGUAAUCCAGUAAUUGAAGUUUAAAUA